AGACCCAUGUGGGCAUGUCCGUCCAGACCUUCUGCUGCUUUGCUGGAUGGUGCGACAAGAUUCAGGGUCUGUGGCAUCGUCAUCCCCUGGAACUACCCCUGAUGCUGCUCUCCUGGAAGACGGCUGCCUGCCUGGCCCCGGAAACACAGUGGUGAUUGAGCCUGGCCAGCUCCAGGCCACGGGAGCAGUGUCCAGAGGCACCAGGCGAGCUCUGAACUGUUCUGUUGUAAACCAGUUAAC